rnacentral:lncRNA from 1 species
AAAAUUUUAUUCAUCAUAGCAAGGUGCUAUACACCAUAAUUACAAAGUACACCAAAUUAUACUAGAUUACACAAACAAUUUAGCCAAAUAAAUUAAACCUACACCAAUUUUCCCAUGUGAGCUCCGCCUCCCUUGAUCGAUUUUUAAUCCAUAGAUACGCCAUAGAUCUCACUUCAUCCAGUACUUUAGUCGUAUUUGGAAUAGCUUGUCCAAAUACACUAUCAUUCCUUGUUUUCCAAAUGCUCAUGUUUUGUUUUGUUGUACAUGAAAAGCGACUACCCAAUCGCCACAAACCCACGCACGUUGUUCAAAUGAACGAUACUUGAAAACGUGAAAACGCAUUGAAGCAUUAAGCGGUAAUUAAAUUGUUGUCGAUUCAUUGGUGAGACGGUAUGAAAAUACGAUAUCAAACAAAUGCAGAUUGCAAAUAGCGAAAAAGAGAAAACAUAACAGAUGAUAUAUAAUAUAAUCGAACAUAUGCAAGAAAAUAUCAUCAAAAGUCAUUUACUAGAAAACAAACAUGCAAGAAAAUUAGAUUAUGAACAUAAAUAAAAAAAGCCCCUUGGUCAUGAUUUUCCAUCCAUUCUCUUCUAAACGUCAACAUCACACCCUUUAUCAAACGGUUGCUUAUCGAUCGAACCGAUGAUGUUACUAUUAUUCGCGUUGCCAAACACAAUAUACGCAGGGCACUUUACUUUCACCAGAUGUCGAAAUCGAAUAUAUCCAGAUUUUGAUCUUAAACGUCCCGUGAGUUUAACAUGAAUCAACACCGUCCCAGCUGUCACGUCUUGGACCAAAGACACAACAAGAUCAGGGUUCUUCACGGGGACUUGAGUUCCGUUGAGGUAAGGAGACCAAAUGGUGUUGUCCGGCUUGUUGCCUAGGUACAACGGAGGAAGCACUGUUGGUGGUGUGAUCUGU